rnacentral:rRNA from 1 species
UGGGGAAUUUUGGACGAAUUGGGCGAAAGCCUGAUCCAGCAAUGCCGCGUGUGUGAAGAAGGCCUUCGGGUUGUAAAGCACUUUUGUCCGGAAAGAAAUCCUUGGCUCUAAUACAGUCGGGGGAUGACGGUACCGGAAGAAUAAGCACCGGCUAACUACGUGCCAGCAGCCGCGGUAAUACGUAGGGUGCAAGCGUUAAUCGGAAUUACUGGGCGUAAAGCGUGCGCAGGCGGUUUGCUAAGACCGAUGUGAAAUCCCCGGGCUCAACCUGGGAACUGCAUUGGUGACUGGCAGGCUAGAGUAUGGCAGAGGGGGGUAGAAUUCCACGUGUAGCAGUGAAAUGCGUAGAGAUGUGGAGGAAUACCGAUGGCGAAGGCAGCCCCCUGGCAAGUACUGACGCUCAUGCACGAAAAGCGUGGGGAGCAAACGGAUUAAUCCCUGGUAGUCCACG